GCCCAUGGGCCACUGAAGGGUUCAAGAUCUGAUUCUAGCCUUUGCACCCCAGCUCUCCAGCCCUGGGUGAGGGGCCACCCCUGCAGGAGUGAGAAGAGGAAGGAGGAAUUGCAGAAUGAGACAUUGAAACCUCAGGCUCUGUCCCUGCUGUGCACCCUGAGAAGUGUCUCCAAAGGUGAGAAGUGAAGGCAGAACUCAUGCCCAAGUCUCAGUCCCAACCAGCCUUGUCUGUAAGCAAAUAGA
rnacentral:lncRNA from 1 species